UCGGCUCAGUGCCUCGGGUCUUCAACGUGAUCACGUAUCAACCCAACCAGACGGGCUUCCGUCAGACUUCAAACUUCUGCGUGUUGACCUAACUUGAAACCUUACCACAAAUAUAUGCUGAAGUCAUCUUCAUUCCAUAGUUGCACUCAUGCAGAUCACAAUGUACGGCAUUCAAAAUUCAGAUAAUUCAUGCUCAUGCUUACGCUGCUGUAAGAGUUGGGUCGAGUCAGAAAAAUAAGUUGUCAUGCUUUUACGCAUUGUUGCCGGCAGUAUUUGCUCUGCGUCGCUCGAUUACGUCUAAAUGCGUCGCUAUCGAAACGGGGCAGCUGAGAAUAUGUUACGCGAUAAGCGAUACGCUGUGGCUUAACGAUUUUCAGAUAGCACGAAUGCCAGCAAUCGUGCAACGUAGGAGUUCAAAGGGAGACAUGGUCAGUGUGGUUGGGUGCAAGCAACGUGUCAUUGUGGUUAGAAAAAAUGAAUCAGUAUACAUGUGAUUUAACUGUCAAAGCCGGAAUGUUUAAAGCAUACAUCCCGCCCAAGGCAUGCUGGGAUGAUCUACUAUCAGGCAGCUUGGAAGCUUCCAGACGCCGAUAUGCCUUACGUUCGGUGCAGCCGAGGUUGUGAACUGUCAAGUGGAAGAUGCCCCUUGAGGAAAACAAUUAGGAUCGACUGUCCAGCGUGGAGAUUGCGGAAUCAGCAGCUGACAUAUUGACUGAUGAAACAUGAUGGUGCGUGCAGCAAGAGAGGGUUUGACUGCAGAUCCUGACCACCUGCUCCUGUAAAUUUGUACCAACCACAGGCGAAAACAAGGGGAAACGCUUUGAAUACUUGCGGUCUUCUAUCAGCUAGACAAGUCCCUGAAGCUAUAAAUCAAUAAACUGAUGUAUUCUGCU